rnacentral:rRNA from 1 species
GACGGAGGAUGCAAGGGUUAGCCGGAAUCACUGGGCGUAAAGCGUCUGUAGGUGGUCAAAUAAGUCAACUGUUAAAUCUUGAGGCUCAACCACAAAAUCGCAGUCGAAACUAUUAGACUAGAGUAUAGUAGGGGUAAAGGGAAUUUCCAGUGGAGCGGUGAAAUGCGUAGAGAUUGGAAAGAACACCGAUGGCGAAGGCACUUUACUGGGCUAUUACUAACACUGAGAGACGAAAGCUAGGGUAGCAAAUGGG